rnacentral:lncRNA from 1 species
UGACACUCAAGGCGCACAACAGGAUAACACAACAACCACAUUUUCAAUUGAUAAUCAUUGCUUUAAAUGGAUGUGGUCGAUUGUUUAUAUAUGCCUCUACAAAUCUAUGUAUUUAACGUGUAAACCAAGGUUGGAUUAGUAGGUCUAAGCAACAUGCACCUGGAUAAUUGGGUCAUGAAUCGGGAUGGGCUCCUACAUCCUCAUAUACACAUUAUGACAUAAUAAAGAGUUUAAUCUUUCACAAAAUAAAGACAUAGAAGCUUACCCAUUUAUACAGGUUCUACACAUUCCAUUUCUCCAUGGCAAUAGAAUGUAAACAUUCUAUUUUGCGCCAAACAUCCCUACAACUCAAUUCUAAGUGCAGCAUAUUGGACGACUCCACAGUCAUUGAUCAUUCGCGACUUUAAGUCAUUCCUGUUAUCUCUAGAGCAUCCCGUAUAUCUAUAGCGCUGCAUUUCUUCCCCAUCUUACCAUGGAUAGGGUUUGGUGCAUUCCGGAGUUCACUUAUGGUCCCCACAAAGGUAAUCUUAGGAGAAAUUAAUUUUAGCAUACUGUAAAUGCCUGUGCAUAAUGUGCAUAACAAAGCAUCAUUAUUUUCAUGAUCUUCAAAGGAAUUCUGUAGAAGCAGCCUUUAUUGUCAGACUCUGCAGGCCUGCUGGGAGGAAACAUAUUACAAUAAACAGAAGAAGCUCAUGGUCCACUAUCUGCUGCUCCAGAGUCAAGGCCAGGUCCCGCCCCAUGUCACCACAGAGCACAGAGCAACUGACGGGUGUCUCAGGGCAAAAAUCCCUUAGGGAGAGGUGAGUACCACGUCAGCACUCACAUUCACGGCCAUUCCCUGCCACCAGCAGCACUCCAGGAGGCUGGUGAAAUAAACAACAGAAAAAUCAGAAGCCAGGAAAGUUGAAUUGCUCUCUGUUUUAUUUCAAGGGUGUGGAAGGAAACCCUGGAGGAGGAAACAACCUCGCUCUGCUGGUAAGAGAAUGAGAGUUAGAGACAUACUACAAGUUAGUGAGCUCUUUACUAGCCUUUCAACAACGAGUUAGCACAGCAGAAUAGAUCUGUUGUGAAUUACACUAAUGGGACUUCCUGUUUCAUACUGCAGGCCUGGGAAGUAAACACUUGCCUAAAAAUGAUGAACAUAGAGCACGAGGCUUUCUGCAAGCUCCGCCGCUCCAUGCACCCCACCUCGCCAGCUGACAUGUGAGUUCCAUGWACUGCCCUGCAUAUGACUUGAUCCAUUUAUCUACACAUCUGGAACUACGCAGAAACAGACUAAGACAGUGUUCUAAGUGAGUACAUUGCACAUCGUUUACCUUUGUUUU